CAGCCGCCGCGGGAAUACAGAGGGUGCAAGCGUUAAUCGGAAUUACUGGGCGUAAAGCGCGCGUAGGUGGUUUGUUAAGUCGGAUGUGAAAUCCCCGGGCUCAACCUGGGAACUGCAUCCGAAACUGGCAAGCUAGAGUAUGGUAGAGGGUAGUGGAAUUUCCUGUGUAGCGGUGAAAUGCGUAGAUAUAGGAAGGAACACCAGUGGCGAAGGCGACUACCUGGACUGAUACUGACACUGAGGUGCGAAAGCGUGGGGAGCAAACAGGAUUAGAGACCCCGGUAGUCCCUGUCUCUUAUAC
rnacentral:rRNA from 1 species